AACGUAGGAGGCGAGCGUUAUUCGGAUUUACUGGGCGUAAAGCGCGUGCAGGCGGCUCUGUAAGUCAGGCGUGAAAUCUCCCGGCUUAACCGGGAGGCUGCGUCUGAUACUACAGGGCUAGAGGUCGGGAGAGGGAAGUGGAAUUCCCGGUGUAGCGGUGGAAUGCGUAGAUAUCGGGAGGAACACCAGUGGCGAAGGCGGCUUCCUGGCCCGCACCUGACGCUCAGACGCGAAAGCGUGGGGAGCGAACGGG
rnacentral:rRNA from 1 species